rnacentral:lncRNA from 1 species
CUUUGUGUAUACUGAUGGUGGAAGCGAUUACAAGGGUGCGUAACUCGCCUGACCUAGCUCUCGAUGGAUUGUAACUUAAUCUUUCUACCCUAGAGACUCGCCUUUAUAUACAUGUCGAGGCUCUAGGUUUACAAGAGUCCAAGCCACAUCACAGACCGUGUCCUGACAUAUCUCUAAACCGCCGUGUCCUUCAAGUAAGGAAACUUCACGGUGAGUCUUCCUCUUCUUGGGCCUUGAGUCGCCAUCUGGGCUCUUGGGCUGAGCCGUCUCUCUGAUGGAGAUCACCUCACACUCUCUGUGUCCUAGGUCUAAGCCCAUCUUGAAUCACCAGCGUUGAGUCGCCACGAACCUGACCCGCCCUAACACACCAAUGCCACGACGCAACCUCUCCGUCUUCCUCUAGAUCGUCUCCUCUAGAUAUUUCAGUAGUGCUUGGCAAAGCUUGUAACGCCCCGGACACACCCUCCGGCGGUCGUUACUCCUAGCGGGAUCUAGACUAGCCCCACAU